GUCAAUCGAAUCAACUUGUCAUUCAUUCAAAGUUACGAAAAAAAGUCAUUGAUUACAAGUAACUGUAAUUACAUGUAAUUCAUUACGUACAAGUCUGCUGAGAAUAUAUCUAAGCAAAUAUGGUGGCUAGAAAAAAGCAUCGCAGGACCCCUUAACAGGCUGCCAAAAUUCACAGGAGACCCUUUGCCCUGGUCCAUCGCAGUACCAGUUACUUUUUUUGUUUUUUCAUAUACGUAAUCACGAUUUCUUUUUUAAUGUAUGCUUACCACAAACAUAAGAUACAACGAAGGUAUUUUCGUGUUGGGUGGGAUUUCAUUAUAACAAGGUUCCAGUGUAUAACAAACAUAGAUACAAUAUCGAAUUAUUGGCUAUAGGUUAUAAUAAAGUAAGUCUAAAAUGUUUCUCGUCAAUAUCAGCAUGUAAAAUAUAUUUGCUUACUGUAUGUAUUUGAAUAUAAGGCGAGGCUUUUUCCAAGAAUCUUUAGCCUUGAAGUCACCCGCCGCUUUAUACGCGAAUGCUGCAUUUAGGUUUCACAGCAGCGCGUCUUUCGCCUUAUAAUAUGGCUUUACGGCAGCGCGCGCCACAAUGCUGUGAAGCCACAUAACAAGGCGAUAUGCGCGCUGCCGUGAAGAAAAUUUCGAUGGAGGUGAAAUGCAAAAACGCCCGUGUGCUUGCGUUGUAGUGCACGUUAAAGAACCCCAGGUGGUCAAAAUUAAUCCAGAGCUCUCCACUGCGGCGUGCCUCAUAAUCAGAACUGGUUUUGGCACGUAAAACCCCAGAAAGAAAAAGAAGAAAAAAUUCACAUAUAGCCCGCACUCAUGUUGGAGCUCCCUUGCCCUAUAUUUCACGGUCGCUAUUUUGCGUUCUGGCUGUGUUAGUAAUUCAGUAUUUCGGGCAAUCCCUGCAGAGUCUGAAUAAUCUGUCGUCUACUCUAUAUCGCCUUAUAUUAGUGUGCAUACUUAAAUUUUUUUUUUCUUGGAUCCUCCAACCGGCAUCCUCGCCUUAUAAUUUGACCCCCUUACAAUAGAAUAAAUAUGGUAUAAUAAAUAUCGGAUAUAACGAAGGCACUUUCGUGCCGGAUGAGACUUCGUUACAACGAGGUUCUACAUACUACACAUACCAGUAUGUUCUCAAUAUACCCUUCACUUUAAAUUUCUAACAUUUGUUACAUCUUUGAAGAAGAGUCUUGCAGCCACAACUGCACUGCGAACUCUGCAGCCUUCUGAUGAUUUUUGUAUCGAGUGUCACAGCAUGCUUUAUUUGUACAGCUACUGGCGAGUCAUUAUUUGCUGCACCGAUGUGAAAGCUCUGCAAAGAGAAAGGUUGACCGACAGAAUUAUGGCAGCCCACCUGUGCUGCUCAUCCAAGCAAAUGGAACCCAAAUGUGAUGGGUGUCAUUUAUCAAAAAUGUCAUACACUGGCAAACAACACCUACACUGUUUCACAACACAGUGCACAUAUCUGUCAGCUUCGAAAGGCACACAAGUGACUAUGCUGAUUGUGGAAGAUGACGCCUAUCACAUGUGGUUAUAAGUGCUGUUUGAUAUAGUGGACCACAUUUAAGACCAACAAAGGCUAUAGUAACCGACUAGUUGCAUAGGUUUAAUCUCAUGAUUUUUACCAACUCUGUGAAGAAACUUAUCCGUACGUUAAUAAAUUACCGCAGAGGACAUUAAAUGAUAUAAUGAGCAAACAACAAUGCCUAUCUUAUGGAAGCUACAUUUAAAUACUGUUCACACUUCAAUGUAUAUAAAAAUGACGUAUACGAGCAAAAAAAAAAAUGUAUGUGGUGUUUACCAGUAUACACGCAUUUGCACACAUGAAAAAGGUGUUCAUACACUUCAUAAAAACUCUCCAUAAGCUUACACAAUGUACAGCUUGUUGACCUGUAUGUCUACACGAAAAUGAAGCCUCACUUAACCAGCCAUAUUAGCUGCUAUAAUUUUGUUUGGCCAUGAAGCUAUCCAUAGCAACACCGGUGCCACAAGUGUCACAUACAGUUGCGUUCAAUAUGAGCUGCAACAUCAGUGCCCGUGGUCAAAGUGACUCUAAGAUGCAUUAUGUCCUGGUCGCCAUACACUCUUGAAGCACCUUUGACUGCGGGCACCGGUGUUGCAGCUCAUAUUGAAUGCAAGUGUGCAUGCUUCAGUGGAAGCUACAAUUAUGUGUUUUGUUAUUUUAAUUUCCUUCAAAGUUGAUAUCAAGGCUGCUUUUUCAGCAAGAUGCUUCUAAACACGAAUGUUUGAAUGGCCAAAAUAACCUCAACAUGAGUAUCGCAACACGCACUCAUCAUAUUAUGCUUUAGCUGCUGUACAGCUGAAUAAAGUUCCUUAGCUCAUAAAUUUACCUCACUUGCAUUGCACAACACACUUAAAUGUGCACUUCUAAAUCCAAAUAAAAUACCAUAGUACAUCUGUCAGAAACCAACUGAUAAUGUGAUAUCCACUAUAACACGCUUGAGCAAGGACAAGAAAUGAUGGAGUAAGCGUAGUUGUACACUGGUGCACAUGCUUUGAAAGUACAACCCUUACACCUGUAUUGAACAACCAACAUGUCUUGCGGAUGUGUCACGAGGAACCACAGAAUCACUUGUGGUUGGUGCUAGCCUGAUUUGCCAACAGCCUUUCUUGUGUAUUUUCAUUAGGAAGCUCUUUGUGGGAUACCACUAAGCAGUUAAAUGGGAUUUUAAGCAGGACAAACACACUUGCAAGCGGGCAGUCCGCUUGGCAAUGUUGCGUUCACAAUUCUGUGAUAAGAAGCACAGCCCCUGCCCUUUAUAUCUUGCGGUUGCCUGCAGAACAUAAUCAUGUGAACUCAAGGAGAUUGAUGAGACAGCUCUAUCAGCUGCCGCUAUUAGGAAAGUCUGAAAUUUGAUGAAAAAGAAUAAAAAGAUACAAACAAAACAACAUCGCAACAGAGCUAAAAAAAAAACUUCCAUGUGAGAAAGGAGCCCGACACCGCCAGGCAGAGGGCUCGUAAGUACCAUGACUUCAACACAUCAUAGACUAGCUCCAAGCUUUGUAUAUCCUGUACUGGGUUCCCCUGUAUAUACACUGCUAAUUGCAACAUCCUCAUAUUACAUGUCUGCUAUACUCUGUAUGCAGUUUGGGACAAUAAUUCAUGUCCAUGUGUACUGCAAAGUGUCAAAAAUGA
rnacentral:lncRNA from 1 species